UACGUAGGGGGCAAGCGUUGUCCGGAUUUAUUGGGCGUAAAGAGCGUGUAGGCGGCCAGGUAGGUCAGCUGUGAAAACUCGAGGCUCAACCUCGAGACGUCGGUUGAAACCACCUGGCUAGAGUCCGGAAGAGGAGAGUGGAAUUCCUGGUGUAGCGGUGAAAUGCGCAGAUAUCAGGAAGAACACCCGUGGCGAAGGCGGCUCUCUGGGACGGUACUGACGCUGAGACGCGAAAGCGUGGGGGGCGAACAGG
rnacentral:rRNA from 1 species